UGAACCAGAUAACAUCCUGUUGCUACAUAGGCCUACACCCAUACACAGUCACCACUUCCUGUUUGACUGAUCGACAUCACCAACUGUAACUCAUGACACUGGGGUGAUGGGGCAAUGCUCAGAAGAAAAGGAUGAAGUUCCCACAAAUUUCCAUAGACUCUAAUCUAAGGUCGUGCCUGACCUCCACGUCGCAGACAGCGUGUCCGUGACUGAGGAGCACCAGUACUGACAUACAGCAACCUGCUCCACCUCGCAGUGAAACAGCUGGAGCUGAUUCAAAGGGCGUGGCGGAUUACAAAACUCUUCCACGAAGGACCCUCUUGUGCUUCCUCGGCGGGAAGAGGCGAGGAGGACACUCCUCCAUUCACCUACUAGCCAAUUGACACCCUCCUAGACCACUUAUUGGUUUCCCGGUCACGAAGUAAAGGAGGACGGAGUCGUCAACAAGAGGAUGAACUUUUGCCCAAUUGAGAAUCUCCCAUGUCAAAACAAUACCAAAAUAUUCAAUACACCUUUCUACAUAUCUAAUUAUAUAUUCAAUAUAUGGCAACAAUAUAUAAAGCGGUUACCGAAAAUUGCAUACUUCAUCACGUGUAGAUAUGUGCACCACGUUAUUGCUCUACAGUGGAUGCAUCUUGCUGGCUUUCACUCACAUUAAAAAAUAUAUAUACUUUGUAG